ACAUUUUUCUUCAGUUCAUGCCUUCACCGUCCCUAAUCUUGAACCACGAAUUCCAUAGGAUCUUGUAUUUUUCUUGUGUACCUGCUCUGCACUUGUUGUAGAGCAUAGCUUGAAUCAGUAUUUUUACCUAUUUUUGACCUCUCGUUCUGAAAUACAUCUAGCAGGUGUGGCCAGUACUCUGUUAUUCUCCUACAUAUAGCUGUAUAUGCAUCUGAAAGGGCAAGUACUUGGAUGACCUUGACAAUAUCAUACUGAUUGUAAUAACUUGCAUAAGACUCUGUAUUUGAAGAUGUUCCGGUCCUGCAUUAUUUGACAGAAUUACCAUUAAAGAAAAUUUAGGACAGAAAUAUAUUUCCAGGACAGUCCAGAGAAAAAGGCUGGUAUUUAUGGGGUAGCACUCAAACUACCGCUACGCACAAGGCUGGUAUUUCAAUUCGUUUGCCAUACUUCUAGUUUUAUUUUAGGGUUCUUUAUAAAUAUAUGUAGGUAUUAUGAUCCAUUGCAAAUAUAAGGAGUAGAUAAGCUGAAACUAGAAUAAGCAUCUUUUUGCUCUGAUGGAUCAGUUUCUCAUUGUUAAUAUUUAUAUAUUUUCUUCUGAGCACCUGUUUCUUCAUCAUAUAUAUGUGGGAAAAAGGAAAACUUCUAUGAUAGACAGUAGUAGUUUCAGACUGUCUACGAUCCCAGUAAUCCAGAUUCUGAAGCUUGUAUUGUCCUUAAUGAGCUAGUAAUAAAAAGAUAACAACCUUCCGAGAGGUGUUGCCAAACCUGGGAUGUAGAUAAUCAAACAAAUGCAGGGCUGGAGACAAUUAUUUGCUGGUUUGAGCCUCAGUUACAUCCUGAUGACAGUCUUGCACAUUCAGUUUUACAUUCUGAACAUAAGCAACAUUACUAAAUCGCAUGCUCUGUUCAUGUUAAGUUGUUGAUUGCAAACGUCACAAGGCAGGAGAACACACAUUUUUUUAUUCACGUAGUGUUCAUCAAUAUCUUUUAUACAUCAGUAAACUCAGCAUUCUACAGGAGAAUAAAGUUCAGAAGGAAAAACCAUCAAGAAAGCAUCAGCUAUACCCAAUUUCUUUUUUGAGUUUCUGAUUGUGUCGUCUUGCUGGGUGAAACAUGCCAACCAAGGAUAUGCGGCAGUCCAAUUCCCCUAUGCCAGCAAGCAUACAUGAUUCGGUUUACUAUACAAAAUAUGGAAUGCCUGUCCAGAUUAAAAAUAAUGAUAUACUUUUCGGUUGAUCCAAGUUGGUUCUCGGUUGAAACUAAUUUGAAGCUUUGCAUUUUUCUUAUAGCUGGCUGAUAUACUUUUUAUUUUUAUAAAGUAUAUAUCUUUUACAUUCUGCAAUGAAGAAAAACCAUCAUGCCUAUAGUGGGAAGAUGUCUGUCCAAAGAUGCUUUAUUUGCUAAGCUACAUGAGUUUAUUCACAGUUCUUAUCUGAAAAAGAUAAGCGAACUGGCAGGUGGAUCAGCAGCAUUUGUCUAUGCUCGAAUAACCCUCUUGAGUUGGUUCCCUUACCACAGGUCGACAGAAAUGUUCAAAAAGUUGACGGUGGAAGUAGUUCAGUAUGGAUAUAGUUCACAUAGUUGUGAUAUUUUUAGUGGAACAAAGUAUUGUUUCUUGCUGAACCUGUAACCAUAAUUAGCAUUUUCUCUUUUGAGACAUAGUUAGUAAACUAUAUUUAUCAUUGGUGUUGCACUAUUGGUCCGACUUUGGCAUGUCAGGUUAUAUGCAUGUGUGGAUGCAAGUUGAAUAUUUGUUCUCUUGCGAACUGUGUAUUUAAUAUAUAUUUUUCGUUCAAA